CAUCAGACAGUCAUUCAGCCAUGAUCAAUCAGUACUUUUCCUACAGAUCACAAGCUACUCAGUAGCAAAGAGUAAAAGUCUUCAGGCUAGAAAGACCUGUUCAAUAUUCCUCACUUCCACUGGCUACUGGUCCCCUAGGAACCUUCAGUGUUCUGGCAAUCCCCUCCUCUGCCCUGUGCUCUACUCCCAUCUCCCCCCGCCCUCACACUGGGAUCACCAUCUGGCCCGGUUCAUCUUCUGGAUGAUGAUGGAUGACUUACAGAAAUAAAGGCAAAAGUCAGAUACACGGAGGGAAGCCAAAUAAGAACAAAAGGACAGGGAUGGAGUCCUUUUCCUCCAGCCCUGUAUUAAUAAGCUUUGUAUUUCUUUAUGCCCAAGGGACCUACAUGAAUACUUCUGUGAGAGAAGGAAGAAAGAAUGGAGUGAGAAGCCCGCUGCCACUGUCAGCUCUGACUACCUCCUCGGUCUUACACACCUCCCAGGACCCAGUCCCAGUCACCUCCUCAGUCAUGGACCCAUAAGCCACCCAACUCCAGCUGCAUCAAGGGGAGGCACUCCACCCUAUUUAUUUUGGAGCACAGAAGUGUUAAAGUUUCCCACCUUCAUCUAGAAGCUCUUCAUCCACGCUUUGCAGAGUAAAGCCUUGACAACUCCUGGAACUUAUUGCCAAUGCAGCUCCUACCAGAUCUCCACUCUCUACUAUGGAGGGGAGCAAGAGGAGUGUCUCAACCAACUAUACUCAAGAUCUCAUGAUGUGCCAGAGCACCCUUAGCAAUAUGACACAUUAGAAGACAACAACCACCGAUCUGCGU